ACACGUAGGGGCCUGACGUUGUUCGGAAUCAUUGGGCGUAAAGGGCGCGCAGGCGGCCGUCCAAGUCCGGUGUUAAAUGGUCGGGCUCAACCCGAUCAUGCGCUGGAAACUGGGCGGCUUGAGUCCCGGAGGGGAUGCCGGAAUUCCAGGUGUAGGGGUGAAUCUGUAGAUAUCUGGAAGAACACCGAUGGCGAAGGCAGGCAUCUGGCCGGAGACUGACGCUGAGGCGCGAAGGCGCGGGGAGCGAACAGGUUUAGAUACCCUGGUAGUCCGCGCAGUAAACGAUGCGCACCAGGUGUCGGGCGGCAGCGCCCGGUACCGGAGCAAACGCGAUGAGUGCGCCGCCUGGGGAGUAUGCCCGCAAGGGUGAAACUCAAAUGAAUUGGCGGGG
rnacentral:rRNA from 1 species